AACGCUAGCUACAGGCUUAACACAUGCAAGUCGAGGGGCAGCAUUUCAGUUUGCUUGCAAACUGGAGAUGGCGACCGGCGCACGGGUGAGUAACACGUAUCCAACCUGCCGAUAACUCGGGGAUAGCCUUUCGAAAGAAAGAUUAAUACCCGAUGGUAUAAUUAGACCGCAUGGUCUUGUUAUUAAAGAAUUUCGGUUAUCGAUGGGGAUGCGUUCCAUUAGGCAGUUGGUGAGGUAACGGCUCACCGAACCUUCGAUGGAUAGGGGUUCUGAGAGGAAGGUCCCCCACAUUGGAACUGAGACACGGUCCAAACUCCUACGGGAGGCAGCAGUGAGGAAUAUUGGUCAAUGGGCGCAGGCCUGAACCAGCCAAGUAGCGUGAAGGAUGACUGCCCUAUGGGUUGUAAACUUCUUUUAUAUGGGAAUAAAGUUUUCCACGUGUGGAAUUUUGUAUGUACCAUAUGAAUAAGGAUCGGCUAACUCCGUGCCAGCAGCCGCGGUAAUACGGAGGAUCCGAGCGUUAUCCGGAUUUAUUGGGUUUAAAGGGAGCGUAGGUGGACAGUUAAGUCAGUUGUGAAAGUUUGCGGCUCAACCGUAAAAUUGCAGUUGAUACUGGCUGUCUUGAGUACAGUAGAGGUGGGCGGAAUUCGUGGUGUAGCGGUGAAAUGCUUAGAUAUCACGAAGAACUCCGAUUG
rnacentral:rRNA from 1 species